GGAAGUGAAGAGAGGGGGCGUCGGAGCAGUUGGCGGCCGGUCGUCGACGGGCGGUGGUCGAAGGGAGGCGCUGGUGGGAGGGGGAUUUGGGUUGCAUGAGAGAGAGAUUGAGUGAGGGAGAGAUUGGGUGAGACCUGAGAGGAAUGAAAUGGGGGAGUUUGAGUAAGAGAGGAAGUUGCCUCUGUUUUACAGCAACGAAAGAAACGCUGACUGAGGCAGCGUUUCAUUAAACACAUAAAACGCUUCAGCCAGCGUUUUACUACAUUUGAAUUUUUUUUUUUAAGGAAAUCAAAAAUUAAGAAAAUCAAAAAAAAAAAAAGUCAACCAGUAAAAACGCUGUCCGAAAACAGCGUUUUACUCCAAAAGCUUAGUUUGGUAAAACGAGUACACUAUACAAAAUAUUUUGUUAACAAAGUUUUAGUUUGGAAAAAAAGUCCUAAAGAGUUACAAUGAACAGAAAUCAUUAUCCCUCCCAAAAUCCUGCAACUUCAUCUUCUCGUUCUUCUUCAUCAUCUUCAUACUCUAAUUCUAAUUCCAGACAUCACUACAAUGUCACCCGAACUUCGGGCCCAAAACCCAAUUGGAAUCGCAUCUCUAACAGACCCCAAAGAGUUCCAUUGGAAGAAGAUACUGAUUAUACCACUGCUCACUGUAUUGUUGGAACUUGCCCUUUUAUGUGCCCAGAAAAGGAGAGAAUCCAGCGUGAGCAGCUUCGAGAUCUAGCUGUAUUUGAAAGAUUGAAUGGAAAUCAGUCGAAAUCGUCCUCAAUCCUCGCUGUUAAAAAGUUUUGCAGAACUAUCUCAAUGAAGGAAGUUCAAGCAUCAGAUAUACGCCCUCUGCCGGUUUUGGAGGACACAUUAGAUUACCUUAUGAAGUUGGAUUCAUCUGAACAUUCUUUUCUCGUUCUUCAUGAUUUCAUCUCUGAUAGGACAAGGUCCAUUAGGCAAGAUCUCAGCAUGCAGAACAUCAACAAUGAUAAAGUGAUCUGCAUGUACGAGAAAAUGAUUAGGUUUCAUGUCACCUCCCACUACAAGCUUAGAAGAUGUGAGGGUGACAGCACCACUUUAUCUUCAAUCCAUCAUCUUAAUAUGGAGCAGCUCACAAAGUGCCUUGGAUCACUAUAUAACCUAUAUGAUAUCAACCGCACUUCAGAUUCUGUUUUUGACAAUGAGGCUGAAUAUCGAUCUUUAUAUGUCCUCCUUCAUCUUGAGACUCAUAGCCAUUCAACGGGCGAGUCUCUAUCUUUGUGGUUUUCUCGUCUAUCUUCAUAUAUUGUUAGCUCAAAGGAGAUGUGCUUUGCGCGAACAGUGUUAAGGUCUUUUCGGAUGGGCAAUUUUUGGCGUUUCUUUCACACUGUAGCAUCAGAGGCAACUAACCUACAGUUCUGCAUCAUUGAGCCUUACAUCAUGGAGGUUAGGGCACUUGCUGUAGCGUGUAUAAAUUCCAGUGGCUACAAGCUUCAUCCUUAUCCAUUAACGUCUCUUUCAAAAAUCCUGAUGAUUAAGGAAUCGGAUUUGGAAACCUUCUGCAAUGCUUGUGGCCUGCAGACUUCCCAAGAUGAUAUGGGGAAUAAGGUCUUACCCACCAAGCAAACUGGAUUUUCCCAUCCCAAGGGAGGAUUUCAGUGCAAUCUUUUCCCGUGGUUGGAGCUGCUGGAGAAAGCCUGUUUCAGCAGGAUUUAAACUGGGUUGCUGUGUAGACUGAGGAUGUAAAUCUAUACUGUUGCUGGCCACACAGGCAUAUUUGUCCCACAUCCAAUUUGCUUGUAGGAUGCAAGCGUUUCAAUUGAAAAGUGAUGUAAGAGAAAAGAGAAAAUGAGGCGGAGGAAGAAAGAAAGGAGGGAGAAAUUUUGGGCAACAUCCGCAAUAAGGAUGCUCUAAACCCAAUUACAUUACCAAAGAAACUCAUCUUGAUGGAAUAUUGGAUACUUUUUCAAAACUUUCAAAUUUGUAUUAAGUUAUUAUAGAAGGGAGGGACAAACAAUUCUUGUAGGGGAGGUUCAACAUAGUUGAGCUGGCAUUCAGUCUUCUAAUUUUUUCAUCUACUACGAAAGACCGGCAAAGUCCGAAUUUGUAAAAGACAUGUUAUUCUUUCUUUCUUAAUCGAAUGUUAUGGGGCAUUCAUAAAGGGAGGAUUUCUUUGGUUUGUUA